CCCUUUGUCAAUAAUAGGAUAAAGCCCACUCGAUGCGGCUGUGGGGAAGCAGUAGCUUUUAAUGUGCCUUGCUUAGCUCGGCACAUUAAGGUUACUGGCAUCGACCCGGUAAUUACCGAUGCCAACAUACGGCAUUUUAUAACGUCGAAAGCGAUUGGUUGCGUAGGCAAGUCGAACAAGUUUUGGAGCCGAACAACAAGCUCGACAUCUGCCCACAUAAGUAGGCCGGCGUUACCUUGAUGCUGAAAUUUUGGGUGGACUUGAUAAAGCUUUUUCAUCACUGACUGCCAGUACAUCAUCUAAUGAUUCCCCAAGAGGAAGAGAUAUAGGCGAGACAAGCUCAUCUAGCGAUGUUCAAGG